rnacentral:rRNA from 1 species
CCUACGGGCGGCAGCAGUAGGGAAUUUUCGUCAAUGGGCGCAAGCCUGAACGAGCAAUGCCGCGUGAACGAGGAAGGUCUUCGGAUCGUAAAGUUCUGUUGAAGGGGAAAAAGAGCGGAGAGAGGAAAUGCUUUCUGAUUGAUAUUACCAUUCGAGGAAGUCACGGCUAACUACGUGCCAGCAGCUGCGGUAAUACGUAGGUGGCGAGCGUUAUCCGGAAUGAGUGGGCGUAAAGGGUGCGUAGGCGGCCUGCUAAGUCUGGAGUGAACGGUACCGGCUCAAGCGGUACAGGCUCUGGAAACUGGCGGGCUAGAGGGCAGGAGAGGGCGGUGGAACUCCAUGUGUAGCGGUAAAAUGCGUAGAUAUAUGGAAGAACACCAGUGGCGAAGGCGGCCGCCUGGCCUGUUACUGACGCUGAGGCACGAAAGCGUGGGGAGCAAAUAGGAUUAGAUACCCUAGGAGUC